CAUGUACUCCCUCCAUUCCAAAUUACUCGUCGCAGAAAUGGAUGUAUCUAGAACUAAAAUAAAUCUAAAUACAUCCAUACUUGUGACAAGUAAUUCGGAACGGAGGGAGUACUAG
rnacentral:pre_miRNA from 1 species